UACGUAGGGGGCAAGCGUUAUCCGGAUUUACUGGGUGUAAAGGGAGCGUAGACGGCUCUGCAAGUCUGGAGUGAAAGCCCGGGGCUCAACCCCGGGACUGCUUUGGAAACUGUGGAGCUAGAGUGCAGGAGAGGUAAGUGGAAUUCCUAGUGUAGCGGUGAAAUGCGUAGAUAUUAGGAGGAACACCAGUGGCGAAGGCGGCUUACUGGACUGUAACUGACGUUGAGGCUCGAAAGCGUGGGGAGCAAACAGGGA
rnacentral:rRNA from 1 species